rnacentral:rRNA from 1 species
UAAGAAUAUUCCGCAAUGGACGAAAGUCUGACGGAGCGACGCCGCGUGGAUGAAGAAGGCCGAAAGGUUGUAAAGUUCUUUUGUCGGGGAAGAAUAAGCCUGGGAGGGAAUGCCCGGGUGAUGACAUGAACCGGCGAAUAAGCCCCGGCUAACUACGUGCCAGCAGCCGCGGUAACACGUAGGGGGCGAGCGUUGUCCGGAAUUACUGGGCGUAAAGGGCAUGUAGGCGGCUUGGCAAGCCUGGCGUGAAAGUCCACGGCUCAACCGUGGGAUUGCGUUGGGAACUGCAGAGCUCGAGUUACGGAGAGGAAGCUAGAAUUCCUGGUGUAGGGGUGAAAUCUGUAGAUAUCAGGAAGAAUACCAAUGGCGAAGGCAAGCUUCUGGCCGAUGACUGACGCUGAGGUGCGAAAGUGUGGGGAUCAAAC